AUGACCUUAUCAACCACUUUUUUCAGCAUAUUUGCAAGAAGUUUAGCGAGCACUUUGUACAUGCAGCCGACUAACGAUAUAAGUCUGAAAUCAUUCAGCUUCACCAGAUUCUCAACUUUUGGGAUAAGUGUUAUGAAUGUACUAUUAUCCCCUCGAACGAUUCACCUAUUUGAGUGGAAUUCAGAAAUGAAUCUCAAAAAAUCUUCUUUGAUCACUUCCCAAAACUCCUUGAUAAAGCAAAAUUUAAACCAUUCGGUUCGGGGCUCUUCGAGCUAUGACAAUCCCAAACUGCACUUUUGA